CGCCGUGGGCGCCCCUGGGACCCCGCUGCGGUGGGCCCGUCCGGUCGCAGGGCCGGGGCGGGGCGGGGCGCGCCUGGAUUAGCAUACGGGGCGGGGCUCGCGGCGCCCCGCCUUCUCUGCGGCUGCGCCGCUCCGCGGGGUUUCGGUUCCGAGCGUCGCGUUCCUCCACGGUCUCCGAGUGGAGCCCGGCCGCGGGGUUCUAACGGUCCAGACCGCAGGGACUCAGGACUGCGGUCUACCCUCGACGUCCUCACACCCUCCGGGGUGACCUGAGGGCGGAGCCGGAGUCCUGUGUCCCGAGGCACCAACCACCCCCGUCCCCUGUCGACCCCGUCUCCAGUCUCUUCCAAACCCGUCCAGCAAUUUGGGAUUUCUCCCGUGGCGUCCGAGAAAAAGGAGGCCCCUACUCUGUAUCUGUGUCCUCUUUUGCAUCAAACCUAGACUGCUGUUUUGGAGGGGUUAUCUCUACUCCUCAGCUUGUAGGCGCGGUUGGUUUGAAACCCUGCACGACCUGUGAAGUCUUCCCUGGAUAGCUAUAUCGUCUGGGGUCCCUUGUCCUGCCUGUUUCCACAGCAAGCCCACGAAUCCAGGGCUGCCCUUGUUUCUGGAACAGCAGAACCUGCCUCAUAGUCUCUUCUCCACCGUGAGGCUGACUCUGCACCACCUCCAGCACCAAACUUGCAACCCUUGAGUGCCAUCUCUUUCCUGUUUCCAAAGAGAGGAGGCUGCCAUUCAGCUUGAGCCCUCCCCACCGCCCUCCACCGCCUGACUCUGACUUCUGGAAAGAAAUCUUCACUUGGUGUCUCCAGCUCCUCCCCAGCCCGCUGCCCUGGCAGGUUGCUGGUGACCAAGCUGACCGUUUGUCAGGCUCUGAAGGGCCUGUCUUGCUGUCUCAGCCUGCUGCCCACCUCCCCACCCCUCCACUCUCUCUAGGUCACCCCCACCUGCCCUGCUGCCCAUGGCCUUCCUCGGGUCACAAGGAGAAGCAAAGACAGGCCCAGGCGCUGAAGCCUCAGCGUCACUGUAGGUUCUGGGUGUUUCCAGGGCUCCGCCUGCUGUGUCCUGGGUGAUCACCCAUACAUUUCCACACUUGAAGCCAUCCGGACAAGUGCAUGCCUGAAUGCCUGCCCCAGGCCCAGCCCCCAUAACUCCAGGAACUUAGGGUCCACAGCCUGGGGAGCCCAGAGCAGGGAGCUGGCACAGCUGGGUGGGGGGGGAGGCUGCAUGCUGGGGCAGAAUUCAGACUAAGGAAAGGAGGUGCAGGACAGCCCCUCGGACAACUGUACAGCCAAAAGCACGGUGGUGGCAGAGCGUGCAAACCCCUCUAUGGCUGAAGUCCCGAGACCGGGAGUUCAGGGAGACUGUUCCCUCCACGGGCGUGGAGGGCAGCUCGGCUCUGCUCACUGUCUUCUGGUUUUCUGCCCAAGUUCUGGUGUGAGAGGUCCCAGUGGAUCUCCAGUGGGCCACUGACACCUCAAACUGAGCUCACCUCCCCCAACUUCACCAGCGGCUUCCCCUUGGGUUAUUUCCAUUUCCAGCAAGAGGCACAACCAACCAUACAGGCAGCUGCCUCACCAGCAGCCUUCGAGUCACGGCUCACUCCUCAUUACUCACCAGGCCCUGAGGUUCUGUGGCUUCCCAGUUUGGCCUUCACCUCUGCCCUGGGUAUCUUCACAGCCUCUCAACUGGCCACCUGCCCAGUCUUCCCCACCCUGUCUCAGAGGAUCUUCCUAAAUGGCCUCACCGUUGCUCUCAUCGUGUGGACAAGGAAGCACGUCUGGGAAGUGACCUUGCCUAGUGUCAGCUGGCUGGUGAGCAGCAGAACUGACACUCAAGCCCUGCUGGCGGAGCGUGGCCCGCGCAGCUCUCUACACCGCCUGCUUCCUGCCCGAGAGGUCAGGGCGUGUCUGGUGACCAGCGACGGACUCAGGAGGGACCCAGGUCACCUUCCCCUUGGCCCCCCAGCUCCAGGCGAGCCCUGGGGGUGGGAGAAAGUCCAGGGGAUGUGGAAGGGACUGGCCAGGGACGCACGCCUCUGCCUUCUCCCCGCCAGCUGUGCGGCCCCUGGUGUGAAGUCUCAGCAUCACAAGCCGCUGGCCUGUCCCAGUGCGGAUGGGGAUUUCCAGGAAUAAAGAAGGUGCCCAGACUUCUGUUGUGGUUUAGUGGCUAAGACUGUGCUCCCAAUGCAGGGGGCCCGGGUUCAACCCCUGGUCAGGGAACUGGAUCCCACAUGCUGCAACGAAAGAUCUUGCGUGCCACAACUAAGACCAAAC
ensembl:lncRNA